UACGGAGGGUGCGAGCGUUGUCCGGAAUCACUGGGCGUAAAGGGCGCGUAGGCGGCCUGAUAAGUAGGGGGUGAAAUCCUGCGGCUUAACCGCAGGGCUGCCUUCUAAACUGUCAGGCUAGAGCACAGUAGAGGCAGGUGGAAUUCCCGGUGUAGCGGUGGAAUGCGUAGAGAUCGGGAAGAACACCGGUGGCGAAGGCGGGUCUCUGGGCAGUAACUGACGCUGAGGAGCGAAAGCGUGGGGAGCGAACAGG
rnacentral:rRNA from 1 species